rnacentral:lncRNA from 1 species
GCUUGCCGAUGCGUGUCGAGAUCGAGAGGGUUGGCGCGGCCUUGCGGCGGCGCUCUUUGCCGACGAGGCCCGAGGCCAUCUUCGGUUUCUUUUGGGGAGGGGAAUACUUUGCUUGUGCUUCUUUCAACCGAAAACACAUCUAAUACCAACCUUGCUCAUGAUACCAUUGAUAGAUCCUGUGGAUCGACAAGGCUAGAUGUGUUCGGU